rnacentral:rRNA from 1 species
GACGAACGCUGGCGGCGUGCCUAACACAUGCAAGUCGAACGGAGAUAUGAUUUCGGUUGUAUCUUAGUGGCGAACGGGUGAGUAACGCGUGAGCAACCUGACCUUUAGAGGGGGAUAACACUUGGAAACAGGUGCUAAUACCGCAUAAGACCACGAUCUGGCAUCAGGACGAUGUCAAAGGAGCAAUCCGCUGAAGGAGGGGCUCGCGUCCCAUUAGAUAGAUGGCGGGGUAACGGCCCACCAUGUCGACGAUGGGUAGCCGAGCUGAGAGGAUGAUCGGCCAAAGUGGGACUGAGGCGCGGUCCAGACUCCGACGGGAGGCAGCAGUGGGGAAGAUUGGGAAAUGGGCGCAAGCCUGACCCAGCAACGCCGCGUGAGGGAAGAAGGUCUUCGGAUUGUAAACCUCUGUCCUUGGUGACGAAACAAAUGACGGUAGCCAAGGAGGAAGCCCCGGCUAACUACGUGCCAGCCGCCGCCGUAA